AUGUCCACAUCUCCAGAAUCUGCCAUAGAAAUCCUCGACACCUGGCUCAAUACACCUUUCAAAGCCCCUUGUCCUGCUUCUAAUUUCGCUCCGUGGAGCGAAGAAAUAUCUUCUUUCCUGGAAAAUUCCCUUGCUGAAAUGCCAAAAAUUGGACAAGAGGAAAAAUCCAAUGAAAAUAAGGAAGAAACUCUAACUCCGUGUGCUCUAUGUUGCUUAGUGAAGAACAG
rnacentral:misc_RNA from 1 species